UCAAUAGCCUAACGUGAACCMACAACUUGGAAGAAGGUAUAGCAAUAGMUAAUUGUAUUAGCAAAUAGUUUUUACAAUAUCGAUUUAAUMGAMUAAAAUUCUAGGUAGAUUUAUGAUGAUGACAUUAUCUAUCUAUGUGUCUUGACCAAAUUUCGUGCCAGCAGUCGCGGUAAGACGUAAGAGACUAGUGUUAUUCAUCUUUAAUAGGUUUAAAGCGUACCUAGACGGUAAUUAAAGCCUAUAUCAGGAACUUGUUUACUAGAGUUAAAUGUAAGGGUGUAUUAAAGUACUGUUGAGUGUAGAGAUGAAAUUCGUUGAUACCAAAUAAUUGGCACAGGUAUAGGCGAAAGCAUCACUUUAUGUAAUAACUGACGUUGACGGACGAAGGCUUUGUGUCGCGAACAGGAUUAGAUACCCCAGUAGUCUUAGCAGAAAACUAUGAGUGUCAUAGGUUAGAUUUUAUUUGGUCUAUAAAUGAAAGUGUAAGCACUCCACCUCAAGAGUAAUUUGGCAACAUUGGAACUGAAAUCAUUAGACCGUUUCUGAAACCAGUASUGAAGUAUGUUGUUUAAUUUGAUAAUCCGCAAAGARCCUUACCACAAYUYGAAUAUAAAUGAWUUAWUUUUACAMGSGUUGCRCGGCUGUSUUCWGUUAAWRUSKUGAGAUAUUGGUUUAUUCCMYUAAAWUAAMGUAAACCCGUASUUUAUUUUUAUA
rnacentral:rRNA from 1 species